AUUGAACGCUGGCGGCAUGCCUUACACAUGCAAGUCGAACGGCAGCACAGGUGCUUGCACCUGGUGGCGAGUGGCGAACGGGUGAGUAAUAUAUCGGAACGUACCUUAUUGUGGGGGAUAACGCAGCGAAAGCUGUGCUAAUACCGCAUAAUCCCUAAGGGGGAAAGCGGGGGACCGUAAGGCCUCGCGCAAUUAGAGCGGCCGAUACCUGAUUAGCUAGUUGGUUAGGUAAAGGCUCACCAAGGCAACGAUCAGUAGCUGGUCUGAGAGGACGAUCAGCCACACUGGGACUGAGACACGGCCCAGACUCCGACGGGAGGCAGAAGUUGGGAAUUUUGGACAAUGGGGGCAACCCUGAUCCAGCAAUGCCGCGGGAGUGAAGAAGGCCUUCGGGUUGUAAAGCUCUUUUGUCAGGGAAGAAACAGCAGCUCUAACACAGUUUGCGAAUGACGGUACCUGAAGAAUAAGCACCGGCUAACUACGUGCCAGCAGCAGCCGCGG
rnacentral:rRNA from 1 species